CUGGGUUUAAUACCGUAUACGCCCUUCGGGGGAAAGAAUUUCGGUGAGGGAUCGGCCCGCGUUAGAUUAGUUAGUUGGUGGGGUAAUGGCCUACCAAGACUACGAUCUAUAGCUGGUUUGAGAGGAUGAUCAGCAACACUGGGACUGAGACACGGCCCAGACUCCUACGGGAGGCAGCAGUGGGGAAUCUUAGACAAUGGGGGCAACCCUGAUCUAGCGAUGCCGCGUGAGUGAUGAAGGCCUUAGGGUCGUAAAGCUCUUUCGCCUGUGAUGAUAAUGACAGUAGCAGGUAAAGAAACCCCGGCUAACUCCGUGCCAGCAGCCGCGGUAAUACGGAGGGGGUUAGCGUUGUUCGGAAUUACUGGGCGUAAAGCGCACGUAGGCGGAUUAGUCAGUCAGAGGUGAAAUCCCAGGGCUCAACCCUGGAACUGCCUUUGAUACUGCUAGUCUUGAGUUCGAGAGAGGUAAGUGGAAUUCCGAGUGUAGAGGUGAAAUUCGUAGAUAUUCGGAGGAACACCAGUGGCGAAGGCGGCUUACUGGCUCUAUACUGACGCUGAGGUGCGAA
rnacentral:rRNA from 1 species